rnacentral:lncRNA from 1 species
AGAAAUUAGAUUUUGGGAGAAAGAGUAGAGAGAGAUAGAAAAAAAAAGUAGAAAAUAUGGGGGGAAUUUGGUUAGAUUUUUAAUUUUGUUUUUUUUUUUAGCUAUUUGGCCUAAUUUCCCAAAAUAUAAUCACCUCCUCACCAGAGAAGAGGCUAAAAACCUGUGCUCAAGUUCUCUCUCUUUUCUCCUAGAGAGAGAAUUUUCUCUCGUUUCUUCCUUCCUCUUACCACACACCCAUCUUUCAGAGGGAAAGAAACGGAGACUUUUUGGUGUAAAAUAUGGUUUUUAAUGUUCUGAGGAUGCGAUCAGAUCCUCUGUUUCGGCUUUGUCCAAUUAAAAUUUUCCGUUGCGGAUUUUGAUUCGGUUUUGUCCAAUUUUGUUGUGUGUAAAGCUCUUCUCCUUCUGUUUUCACCUUCAAUCCAUCUGUCCAAAGGAUUGAUGUUCCCUUUAUUAGAAAAGCUCAACUCUUGAUUUGGAAUUGGAAUCAAUCUUCGCAUAUGAGAAAGUGAAGUAUCCAUGAAAGUCAAGAUUAGAGGGUUAGAAGAUACUAGAGAGAUUUCGAAGCAGGAAUAGAAAAGUCGGAGCUGCCGUUCAGGCUAGUGUUCCAACAAUGUUCUGUCUCGGGUCUUUUGAAGUUCUUCGCUGGAUUUAAUUCUAAUGGAUGGAAAAGAAGUCCUUGUUGAACGGGAGGCGAUCGAAGGAGAUUGGAGCGAGCAAGCAGUUUCAAGAGAGUCGGAGAUGGUGAGCGUGAUCGGCCGGCCAGAGUUAAGGCGACGUUUCUCUUUCUUCGAUUCAGGAAGCGGUGGAGUCUCAAAAGAGGACACGUGUUGUAUACGUGGUACUCAUGUGCAUCAUGUUUAUCUGUAGGUUUGGGCUCAAGUUGGGCUGAAUGUAUUCUAUGAAAGUCUUGAACUGCUUGUAAAUGUGCCCUUUGGGGCUUCGUUUUAUAAAACGAAAUGUUGACAAAAAAAAAAAGAGGCUAAAAUCGAAAUCACUACAUACUGAUACUUAAUUUCA